rnacentral:rRNA from 1 species
UACGUAGGGUGCGAGCGUUGUCCGGAAUUAUUGGGCGUAAAGGGCUCGUAGGCGGUUUGUUGCGUCGGGAGUGAAAACUCAGGGCUUAACCCCGAGCCUGCUUCUGAUACGGGCAGACUAGAGGUAUGCAGGGGAGAACGGAAUUCCUGGUGUAGCGGUGAAAUGCGCAGAUAUCAGGAGGAACACCGGUGGCGAAGGCGGUUCUCUGGGCAUUACCUGACGCUGAGGAGCGAAAGUGUGGGGAGCGAACAGG